rnacentral:rRNA from 1 species
UUAGGACGAACGCUGGCGGCGUGCCUAAUACAUGCAAGUCGAACGGCUUUUCUAUGGAAGCUUGCUUCCACUGAGAAGAUAGUGGCGAACGGGUGAGUAACACGUGGGUAACCUGCCCAUAAGAGGGGGAUAACAUCCGGGAACGGGUGCUAAUACCGCAUAGUUUUCUUGAUCGCAUGAUCGGGAAAGGAAAGACGGCCUUUGUGCUGUCGCUUAUGGAUGGACCCGCGGCGUAUUAGUUAGUUGGUGAGGUAACGGCUCACCAAGACGAUGAUACGUAGCCGACCUGAGAGGGUGAUCGGCCACAUUGGGACUGAGACACGGCCCAAACUCCUACGGGAGGCAGCAGUAGGGAAUCUUCCGCAAUGGACGAAAGUCUGACGGAGCAACGCCGCGUGAGUGAAGAAAAGGUUUUCGGAUCGUAAAACUCUGUUGUCAGAGAAGAACAAGUUGGAGAGUAACUGCUCCAGCCUUGACGGUAUCUGACCAGAAAGCCACGGCUAACUACGUGCCAGCCGCCGC